UUUGCCUCGGGUAGAUUACUUGUGUGCACAUACCCAUAACGUAGGAAACUAGGACAGCUUCUGUCAUCUUUUAGAUUUUCUCUCAUUUCCCAACUAGAAAGCGGCAGGGAUUCUAGCUUGGUACAUGUCUUGUAUGGUACUGGACCAUACAUUUUUUAGACUUGUACGAUUCGAUUGUGAUCCUCUAGACCAUGAUUUAAAAGGAAAAAGAAGGAAAAAGAAGGAAAAAGAAAAUUCCAUUAGCAUGGUACCAACACUAUGCCUGAUCUCAUGUGACAUCAAAAUACUGCAACACCCACUUAAUUACUUGUGCAGAGGACGAGACGAAAUGAUGGGUGUAGAGGAGGUGAUGACGGCCAUUUAAGCGAUUCAACUGGAACCCACUUGCUUAAACUGAAUGUGCCAUGCUAUACAUGAAAAGAUUUCUCAAUACCAAGUGUUUAUUGUAUGUCAAUAAUGAUUCACAUUUGUGCUCCCUAUGGCUAUGAUCGAAUUGGACAAAAUCUUUCACUUGGAUCCAAUAUAUCCUAGCACGUAAGUUUUGGGCCAUUCAUUUUAUCUUAACGUUUAGAAGAAGUUCUCUGUGAAACCCGUGAUCAAUUAAAGGAUGAAAAUGUCACGUAUUGCUAGUACUAGUUGUAUAGCAUGUCAGGCUCCCUAAAUACUUGCUGCAGCUUCUUGUACAUUAACGUUUUUUAUCAGUUAAACCAGCAAUCAGCUUCCUGCAUUAAAAGAAAAGGUUGCAUGUGAACGUAGUUGGCAUGUUGACAAAAGUCUACCGCAUAGAAACUCACCAAUUAUCACCCCCUGUUUAUGCAUUAGAGUUGCAGGCUAGCUCAAUAAAAUCUUAUUGGAAUUUUCACCAGUUACCCAUUUAUCGUCCCAGUUUGUGCAUUAGAAUUGCAGGCUAGCUCAGGAAAACCUUGACGCGCUCCACGUCCUCGUACCAGCGACCAAGUAAAUGGGUAUAAUGCCAUGGUGAAAUUUGAAGAGCAAUUCAUGUGCAAAUAAUGGAAAAACCUUGUUUAUGUUUCACAUACCCCAGAUAGGAGUAUUUCCAUAAUCUUGACAUGUUUGUACCUUAACACCUGACAUUUGUUUAGACUUUCAUAUGUCAGCAUAAACUAUUAUCUCCCAUUAUGCAAUUUAUCACAGCAAAAGAAUGUAAAAGAAAUGCCAUUUGGUUAUGGGGUAUGAAUUGAGAUUUGUGGCAACAUGAAAUAAAGAUCAUGAGAAUGAGAAACU